GCCUCCUUGACUGAGUUGUCAGAGCAUCUGCCUAGUAAGCAGAAGGUUGCUGGUUUGAUUCCAGCAGAAGGCA
rnacentral:tRNA from 1 species